rnacentral:rRNA from 1 species
AACGAACGCUGGCGGCAUGCCUAACACAUGCAAGUCGAACGAGACCUUCGGGUCUAGUGGAGCACGGGUGCGUAACGCGUGGGAACCUGCCCUUCGGUUCGGAAUAACUCCCCGAAAGGGGUGCUAAUACCGGAUCAUGUCCUCGGACCAAAGAUUUAUCGCCCUUGGAUGGGCCCGCGCUGGUUUAGCUAGGUGGUAGGGUAAAAGCCUACCAAGGCGACGAUCCAUAGCUGGUCUGAGAGGAUGCUCAGCCACACAGAGACUGAGACACAGCCCAGACUCCUACGGGAGGCAGCAGGGGGGAAUAUUGGACAGCGGGCGAGAGAGUGAUCCAGCAAUGCGGCGUGAGUGAUGAAGGCGUUAGGGGUGUAAAGCCCUUUUAACCGGGAUGAUAAUGACAGUACCGGGGGAAUAAGCACCGGCUAACUCCGUG